UACGUAGGGGGCAAGCGUUGUCCGGAUUCAUUGGGCGUAAAGAGCGUGUAGGCGGCCAGGUAGGUCGGUUGUGAAAACUGGAGGCUCAACCUUCAGACGUCGACCGAAACCAUCUGGCUAGAGUCCGGGAGAGGAGAGUGGAAUUCCUGGUGUAGCGGUGAAAUGCGCAGAUAUCAGGAAGAACACCCGUGGCGAAAGCGGCUCUCUGGGACGGUACUGACGCUGAGACGCGAAAGCGUGGGGAGCGAACAGG
rnacentral:rRNA from 1 species